GUGAAACUGCGAAUGGCUCAUUAAAUCAGUUAUCGUUUAUUUGAUAGUACCUUACUACAUGGAUACCUGUGGUAAUUCUAGAGCUAAUACAUGCUAAAAACCCCGACUUCAGGAAGGGGUGUAUUUAUUAGAUAAAAAACCAACGCCCUUCGGGGCUCCUUGGUGAAUCAUAAUAACUUAACGAAUCGCAUGGCCUUGCGCCGGCGAUGGUUCAUUCAAAUUUCUGCCCUAUCAACUUUCGAUGGUAGGAUAGUGGCCUACCAUGGUGGCAACGGGUAACGGGGAAUUAGGGUUCGAUUCCGGAGAGGGAGCCUGAGAAACGGCUACCACAUCCAAGGAAGGCAGCAGGCGCGCAAAUUACCCAAUCCCGAUACGGGGAGGUAGUGACAAUAAAUACUGAUACGGGGCUCUUUUGGGUCUCGUAAUUGGAAUGAGAACAAUUUAAAUCCCUUAACGAGGAACAAUUGGAGGGCAAGUCUGGUGCCAGCAGCCGCGGUAAUUCCAGCUCCAAUAGCGUAUAUUAAAGUUGUUGCAGUUAAAAAGCUCGUAGUUGAACCUUGGGUCUGGCUGGCCGGUCCGCCUCACCGCGAGUACUGGUCCGGCUGGACCUUUCCUUCUGGGGAACCUCAUGGCCUUCACUGGCUGUGGGGGGAACCAGGACUUUUACUGUGAAAAAAUUAGAGUGUUCAAAGCAGGCCUUUGCUCGAAUACAUUAGCAUGGAAUAAUAGAAUAGGACGUGUGGUUCUAUUUUGUUGGUUUCUAGGACCGCCGUAAUGAUUAAUAGGGAUAGUCGGGGGCGUCAGUAUUCAGCUGUCAGAGGUGAAAUUCUUGGAUUUGCUGAAGACUAACUACUGCGAAAGCAUUCGCCAAGGAUGUUUUCAUUAAUCAGGGAACGAAAGUUAGGGGAUCGAAGACGAUCAGAUACCGUCGUAGUCUUAACCAUAAACUAUGCCGACUAGGGAUCGGACGGGAUUCUAUAAUGACCCGUUCGGCACCUUACGAGAAAUCAA
rnacentral:rRNA from 1 species